rnacentral:lncRNA from 1 species
UAUUGGAGGUAUGCCCUAGAGGCAAUUAUAGAGGUGAUGAUAUCUGAUUGUAUCCAUGAUUUGUAUAUUGUGUUCAUUGAAUAUCCAUUGAAGGCUACUUGAAUUGAUCUGCAAUUAUGUGAAUUGUAUGUGGAACUCUUUACUUGUAUGGUUAUUCUAAAAGUUGUCCCUAGUCGGAGUUCAUGUGUGGACACACAUGAAUAUUAG